rfam:Cavia porcellus supercont2_140 genomic scaffold, whole genome shotgun sequence.
AGCUUUGCUCAGUGGCUGCGUCAUAGCCAGUGAGGUUUAUCUGAGGUGUAAUUAUGCUAAUUGAUCACUUUUCCCAAUUAGCUAAUCAUGGAUAAGCUAAUUUGCAUAUCAGAAAAUUUUACCGACCAAUCCUGAUAA